GAACACAGAAGUUAAGCUCUAUAGCGCCGAAAGUAGUUGGAGGAUCGCUUCCUGCGAGGAUAGGACGAUGCGGUGC
rnacentral:rRNA from 1 species